UUCUAAUGAUGAUACCUUUGUCCAGUUCUGCUACUGAAGUUCAGCGAUGAGACUUGCCUAUCUGAAGAA